rnacentral:rRNA from 1 species
CAGGUAGUAGUGGGUGUAGCGUACCUACUAGCCUACGACGGGUACGGGUUGUGAGAGCAAGAGCCCGGGGAUGGAUUCUGAGACACGAAUCCAGGCCCUACGGGGUGCAGCAGGCGCGAAAACUUUACAAUGCUGGAAACAGCGAUAAGGGGACCUCGAGUGCCAGGUUACAAAUCUGGCUGUCGUGAUGCCUAAAAAGCAUUGCAUAGCAAGGGCCGGGCAAGACCGGUGCCAGCCGCCGCGGUAACACCGGCGGCUCGAGUGGUAACCGUUAUUAUUGGGUCUAAAGGGUCUGUAGCCGGCCGGAUAAGUCUCUUGGGAAAUCCAGCAGCUCAACUGUUGGGCUUUCAGGAGAUACUGUCUGGCUCGAGGCCGGGAGAGGUGAGAGGUACUUCAGGGGUAGGGGUGAAAUCUUGUAAUCCUUGAAGGACCACCAGUGGCGAAGGCGUCUCACCAGAACGGACCUGACGGCAAGGGACGAAAGCUAGGGGCACGAACCGGAUUAGAUACCCGGGUAGUCCUAGCCGUAAACGAUACUCGCUAGGUGUCGGCCACGGUGCGACCGUUGUCGGUGCCGUAGGGAAGCCGUGAAGCGAGCCACCUGGGAAGUACGGCCGCAAGGCUGAAACUUAAAGGAAUUGGCGGGGGAGCAC